rnacentral:rRNA from 1 species
GGUGAGUAACACGUGGGUAACCUGCCCCUUGAGAGGGGGAUAACAGGUCGAAAGGCCUGCUAAUACCGCAUAAUGCUAAGAAGCUGCAUGGCGUCUUAGCCAAAAGGUUAAUUCCGCUCAAGGAUGGGCCCCGCGGCCCCAUUGGCUAGUUGGUGAGGUAAUGGCUCACCAAGGCGACGAUGGGUAGCCGGCCUGAGAGGGGUGGUCGGCCCACACUGGGACUGAGACACGGCCCCAGACUCCUACGGGGAGGGCAGCAGUGGGGAAUAUUGCGCAAAUGGGGGAAAACCCUGACGCAAGCGACGCCGCGUGAGCGAUGAAGGCUCUUCGGGGUUGUAAAAGCUCUGUCUUUCCCUGACGAUAAUGACGGUAAGGGAGGAGGAAAGCCCACGGGCUAACUACGUGCCCAGCCAGCCCGCGGUAAUACGUAGGUGGCGAGCGUUUUUCCGGAAAUUACUGGGGCGUAAAGGGGUGCGUAGGGCGGGCUCUUUUAAGUGGGAUGUGAAAAUCCCCUGGGGCUCAACCCCAGGAAACUGCCAUUCCAAACUGGAGGAGCUAGAGUGCCGGGGAAGGAAAAGCGGAAAUUCCCCAGUGUAGCGGUGAAAAUGCGUAGAGAUUGGGAGGAACACCAGUGGCGAGGCGGCUUUCUGGACUGUAACUGACGCUGAGGCACGAAAGCGUGGGGAGCAAACAGGAUUAGAUACCCUGGUAGUCCACGCUGUAAACGAUGGGUACUAGGUGUAGGGGGCGAAGCCCUCUGUGCCGCAGCUAACGCAUUAAGUACCCCGCCUGGGGAGUACGGUCGCAAGAUUAAAACUCAAAGGAAUUGACGGGGGCCCGCACAAGCAGCGGAGCAUGUGGUUUAAUUCGAAGCAACGCGAAGAACCUUACCAGGGCUUGACACCCACCGAACCCUGUGGAAACACGGGGGUGCCCUUCGGGGAACGGUGAGACAGGUGGUGCAUGGUUGUCGUCAGCUCGUGUCGUGAGAUGUUGGGUUAAGUCCCGCAACGAGCGCAACCCUUGCCUUUAGUUGCCAGCAAAUUCGGUUGGGCACUCUAGAGGGACUGCCUGGGUUAACCAGGAGGAAAGGUGGGGAUGACGUCAAAUCAUCAUGCCCCUUAUGCUCUGGGCUACACACGUGCUACAAUGGCCGGUACAAUGAGUUGCAAACCCGCGAGGGGGAGCUAAUCUCAAAAACCGGUCCCAGUUCGGAUUGUAGGCUGCAACUCGCCUACAUGAAGCUGGAGUUGCUAGUAAUCGCGGAUCAGCAUGCCGCGGUGAAUACGUU